UGGGGAAUAUUGCACAAUGGGCGCAAGCCUGAUGCAGCCAUGCCGCGUGUAUGAAGAAGGCCUUCGGGUUGUAAAGUACUUUCAGCGGGGAGUAAGGCGAUAAGGUUAAUAACCUUGUCGAUUGACGUUACCCGCAGAAGAAGCACCGGCUAACUCCGUGCCAGCAGCCGCGGUAAUACGGAGGGUGCAAGCGUUAAUCGGAAUUACUGGGCGUAAAGCGCACGCAGGCGGUCUGUCAAGUCGGAUGUGAAAUCCCCGGGCUCAACCUGGGAACUGCAUUCGAAACUGGCAGGCUAGAGUCUUGUAGAGGGGGGUAGAAUUCCAGGUGUAGCGGUGAAAUGCGUAGAGAUCUGGAGGAAUACCGGUGGCGAAGGCGGCCCCCUGGACAAAGACUGACGCUCAGGUGCGAAAGCGUGGGGAGCAAACA
rnacentral:rRNA from 1 species